AUCUUUUGAGUAUUUCAGUACAUUUACCUUCCAAGUAAAAAGAUUAAUUAAUAUUAAAAAAGAUA
rnacentral:tRNA from 1 species